rnacentral:lncRNA from 1 species
UAACAUGGCUUCCUCAAACUUUUUAGUGCUGCUUCUUUUUGCUCUCUUUGCUAUCCCUCGGGGUCUUGCCAAUUAUGACAAGCCUCCGGUUUACCAACCACCGGUCUACAAGCCCCCUGUUGAGAAGCCACCUGUGUAUAAGCCACCGGUAGAAAAACCUCCAGUUUACAAACCACCGGUAGAGAAACCACCAGUGUACAAGCCACCAGUUGAGAAGCCCCCCGUCUACAAACCUCCUGUAGAGAAGCCUCCUGUUUACAAGCCACCAGUAGAGAAACCACCAGUGUACAAGCCACCAGUUGAAAAGCCUCCGGUCUACAAACCACCUGUAGAGAAGCCACCUGUUUACAAGCCACCUGUAGAGAAACCACCAGUGUACAAGCCACCAGUUGAGAAGCCUCCGGUCUACAAACCACCUGUAGAGAAGCCACCUGUUUAUAAGCCACCUGUAGAGAAACCACCAGUGUACAAGCCACCAGUUGAGAAGCCCCCGGUCUACAAACCCCCUGUAGAGAAGCCUCCUGUCUACAAGCCACCAGUAGAGAAACCGCCAGUGUACAAGCCACCAGUUGAGAAACCCCCGGUCUACAAACCCCCUGUUGAGAAGCCUCCUAUCUACAAGCCACCAGUAGAGAAACCACCAGUGUACAAGCCACCUGUUGAGAAGCCUCCAGUUUAUAAGCCACCAGUUGAGAAGCCACCUGUGUACAAGCCCCCAGUCGAGAAACCCCCGGUCUACAAACCUCCUGUAGAGAAGCCUCCAGUUUACAAGCCACCGGUGUACAAACCUCCAGUUUACAAGCCACCAGUAGAGAAGCCACCUGUGUACAAGCCUCCGGUCUACAAACCCCCAGUUGAGAAACCUCCAGUUUACAAGCCACCGGUUUACAAGCCUCCAGUCGAGAAGCCACCAGUUUACGGACCACCUCACCACCCAUAGUACCCUCCCGUAGUUGGCACUACUCGUUUUUAAAGCAUGCUUUUAAGUAAAUAAGAGAUAUAUAAACUUUCCAAAGCAAGGAUCAUAUAUUCUUGGAAAUCUUCAAUUCAAUCUUAUGUUUACAAAUGCUAUUGCCAAGACAAGAGUGUGAAAGAAAAUGGUGCCAUUUGUACUUCAAAUUAUGAAUAAGAACGUUAUGAUUUAGUACUUCUUAUUUUGUGUUUGUUGACUAAAUUUGACAGAGUAUACUUUACUUGUUCCCUAUCAUACCAGUAAGGUGCAUGAAAGUUCAGUCUUGAACGGUGGAAAUAAAUAAUAAUUAAUUAAUGUUUGAAUCUCGAAUUUACUAAAUUAACGAACUUGUAAUUUCAUUGGAAUAUACUUGACUCAGUGGUAGCUUUAGUUUCAACUUGGAAAAUGUCCGUGAUAUGACAAUUUUUCCAAAACAAGUUUAGGUUAAGAUUUUUAUUUUUUAUUUUUGACAUAAUAUACGUUAAGAUUCUUGUGUACUAAUAGAAACUGAAAAAUCAUUUUGGUGCUUAAAGUUUAAUGAGUUGGACAAAUUAUUCACUCAAAUAUGGAAAUGAUAAUGUAGUCUCUUCAAUUAUAGAAUGCCAUUUAAUUUAGUUACCUUUUCAAAAUUAGCAUCACAAUUCGCAAGGUUUUAUAUUUGUGUUGAUGCAUCAGUUAAGAUAAGGAUCACGAAAAUUAGGUUUUUGACUUGGUUUUGAUUAGGGGUGUUUGCGGUGCGUUUUGGUUCGGUUUUGAGCAUAAAAGUCAUCUAAACCUCAAGAUAAAAAAGCAUGCGGUUUGGUUUGAUUCAGUUGAUUUUUAUAUAGUCAUCCAAACAAAACCAAACCAAACCAAUGCGGUUUGGAUUGGUUCGGUUUGUACGGUUUAUCGCGAGAUGAAAAAAUAUUACAUUAACUCUAAUAUUGCCAACUUGUUACAAAAUAAACAUAGGACAUUUUAUUUUGUUGUUUAUAUGAUAAAAUAUUAGGUAAAACUUAUAUCAAAAUAGGUAAAAUUAAGAAGAAACAUAAGCAUGAAACAAAUUAUUGAGAAGUAAAAGAAACAAAUUCAUCACUGAAAAUGAAUUGAAAGAGAUGGAAAGGAAUUAGAAUCGAACCAGAUGGUGCAACAAUGGAAAAAUCUAAUCAAAUGAGAUUAUUCUUGAGCUAUGUAAUUGGGCUAGUACAUGUUUAAGUAAUAUUCAUUAUUCUUGCGGUUUGGUUUGGUACUUGAGAUGCAAACCGCAAACCAAACCGAACCGCGCGGUUCAGUGUAAAAGUCAUCCGAGUUCAUUCGAACCAAGUGCAGUUUUUUGCGGUUUCGGUUUGGAUUGGUUUGGUUUGCGGUUUUUCUAUUGGGUUCGUUCGGUUUUGAACACCCCUAGUUUUGAUCGAUGUUUCCUGAAGAUAUGUUUUGGUAAUUGAACUAAAUAAACUGUCUUACAUUCUUCAAUUAAUGAGAUUAAAUUUCCUUUUUACAAAUAUCAAUGAUUAAUGUCAAGGACUAAAAUGAUGAUUAGUGUCGCGCCAUUUUUCGGAGGUCAAGGCCAUUUGAUUAGCUUUUGACUCACUUUUUAUCUCACGACUGAACAAAAAAUUUUUUAAAGGGGAAAAAGUUUCAAACCACCCAUUUUGAAAAGAUUUAGGGUUCAUGGGUUGGUUAUAUUUAGGGAAGGUAUUAGCACCCUAAAUAUUCGUAGUACUCUAUGAGUACCUCUUGAUUUUAUUUAACUUUUUGUGCUUAAACUUGCUUGCUUUUGAAGAGAUGAAAAUAGAAUUGAAAGAUGAGUUGAAACGAAAAAGAAAAUUGAUUUUAAUUGAAAAGAAAAAAGAAAAUUGUUUUUUAGUUGAUUUGGAAGGACAAGGUCCUCUGCCUACGUACCCGUGAGGGAUCAAAACCUCGUAGUUCGGGGUAGAAAUUGACGUUUGAUUGGUUUUAUAUUUUUUAUUAGUUUUUGAAAAAAGGUUUGAAAUAAAAAGCCAAGUGGCAAAUGAGAAUUGAUUUGUGUUUUUUGGAUUGAAGGAAAUAGACUUGAAGUAGAAUUAAAAUUGAUUUGAGAUUUGAUUAAGAAAGAAAAUAGAAAUAGCGAUCACUUCAUUGAAAGUCAAGGUUUGUUAUAAAAAUAUUUUUUUGUGAUUUUUUGAUAUUUGGAUGUUUUUGCCGUUUUUGAAUAAUGAAUGAAAAUUAAACUAACAGAGCAAUGAAAAUAAAAGUGCGUGGGCGUGAAGAAAAGAUUUUGGUUUAUGUUAGUUCGACAAUAUAAAUAGUAUUUAAUAUAUGUUGUGUUCACUUUGGAUAUUAUCGGACAAAAUUUUGACAAUAAUAAAAAUAAUAAUAGUAAAAUAGAAUAAAAAAUAGAAAGACUAAAGUGAAUCAAAAUGAGAUAAAAAGAUAAAUAUUUAAAACGGAUUUAAAGUUAAUAAAAGAUGGAAACUAAAAUUAAAUGAAAUUUGAAAAUUGAGAGAAGAGGGUCCGACUUGGAACCAAAUAUGAGGUAUUUUAAAAUACCUUCCUAUCGAAAUUUUGUUCGAAAGGCUGAGACCGGUCGGAGUUAAAUGACACGUGUCAGUGCUGCCUUAGGUCAAAAAUUGGGGUAUGACAAUUAGCUCAAUAAUUAAUUAUUGUGAUUUCUUCAUUUUAUAUUUAUAUUUAAGAAUAAAAAAAAAAAAAUGACGAUAUCAACUUUGACACAUUACAUAUUCAAUCAAUGUUGACUUGACCAUCAAUGCUACAUAUCCGGAUGUAAGAGUAGUUCGACGAGUUUAUUUUUGUCACUUUUGUUGAUAUUUUGUUGGUUUAUGCUAUUAACUUGCAUCUAGUAAACUUGUUCAUAGCUUCAUCAUUUUCAGUUUUAGUGACAUGAUAUUUGUGUUGUAUUCAAUGUGAUUUACCGCGCGAUAUGAAUAAUAUAUAUUUUUAGUCAAAAUUAAUCAUGUCGGACCUGAGAUCUUUGGUUUGAUGGCGUUGAACGACCUUUGAGUAAGACAAUGUUAAACCAAAAUGAGUUUUAUACAAUGCCUCUGAAGUUUUGAUAAUAACAAAGUAUAAAAAGAACAAUUGAAUAUGCCAAUGUUGUUCAAGUAUGCUCGACCAUAUAUUAAAAUUCAAAGUAUUAAAUCAAGUUUUGAUUCUGAAAGAACAAGAUUAUGAACAUAUACAAGAGCAUCUGCAACUUAUGAGAAGCUGGAAAUUUGGAUCAGACUCUGAAUAAGUAAGACUGUGAAAGUCGGGAGUGUAACACCCUGAACCCCACAUACUAUUUUUAAAAGUAAUAAUUCAACAUUUAAAUAAACAUAUCAAGAUGUUACUCUUCAUUUUCAACACAUAACAAGUCUCCAUCUUAAAAUAUCAACUCACAGCGGAAAUAAGUCUCAACAACACAAAUGUCAUACAUCAUAUCUCAGAAUAAGUACAUCAUCAAAAUAAACUCAAGGUUCCUCAAACAUAAUAUGAUAACAUAAAUAAAAUCCCAACAUCCUAAUCAGAGAACCACUAGACAAGACUCCAAAAUCAAAGCGGUAAAAGAUGAGUAGGCUGCAAGCCGUCCUCGGAAACUCAUGGUAACUUUGCGUCCUCAACCUGCAAGUCUCCACCACAAGGGCGUAGGCGACCAUUUGCCAAACGUAGGGUAAGAUAUAAAUUUAACAUAGAGGAAAUAUGAACACAUAUAUAGUAUUAGGAUCGCAACAUCAUAUACAAGUAUUCAUCUUAAGCAAUACCAUAUUAACAUGCAUUCUCAUUGAUUGGUAAAAUAUACACAACAAAUCUCAAAUCAUCAUCACAAGAAUAUAAAAAAGUAAACACAUCAUUGAUUAAUCAUCCAAUGGAAUACAUAGGAUUCACACAUUAUCACUUUCAUUAAAUCACACAUUUUCCAUAAAAUACACAUAGUCAUGUAUGCAUCUUUCACAUAGAUUCACAUAGUCAAGUACUCAUCUUCUACAUAGACUCUCAUGUACGAAAUGUUCCUACUCGACUUUAUAUGCAUGUGGUACUGUUUUCGAUAUCAGAGGUAUUUUCUGAGUGAUUUCACCGUCACUUGGACUGACCAUGAAUGCAUGAACAUCUCAUCAUGACUCGACAAUGCAUAAUUCAUAUAACUCGACAAUUUACAUCAACAACAUCAUCACAUCGUAUAUUAAUUCAUCGUCGCUAUAUCAUCAUCAUCAUCAUCAUCAUCAUCAUCAUCAUUUUCAAUGUCAUUAUAUCAUCAUCAUCAUCAUCAUAUCAACAUCUAUAUAUAGUUCAAAUCAUCAUGUCAAACCAUAUCAAUAUGUAUCCACCUCGUCUCGCAAUCACAUUCACAGUCAUCAUCAUUAUAUAUUCAUAAGACAUUAUUCUACAUCAUCAAGUAUACUUCGUUAAUCAUCUAACAAGUUCACAGUCAUUUCAUGAUUCAAUUAUAAUUAAAUCACAAGUUUAUUUCUAACCAUUUCAAUUGCUAAGUUUACUUCCAUCAUAAGCUAGGUUAAUUACUCUUACACAUCAAAAUUAUACUUCUAUUAAUCAAGUUUAGAGGUUUGUGACAUAUUCACAUGCAUUGGAUACCUUAAAAUACCAAAAAUAUGAGUUUCCCACUAUAGGGAGGGUUGCACGGUAGUGCCAUCCAGGUGCACAGUCGUGCUCAUCAUGCAGGUAGGGAAAAGCUAUAAUUUUUGCGUUUUGCUCAGGAAGAACCCCUUUCAACACCAUUUUUCGAUCCAAUUCACACCAAACUAGACCCAAAUCAUAAAACUAAUGUUGUCUAAUCAAUUACACAUUAAUUUUACCUUAACUAACUUUAUUAUACUCAUUAUUAUCGUCAAUUAACAUGAACUUCAAUUGUUUUAAACUUAUCACUUCAAACCCAUUUUUAACAUGGUAAUUCAAACCCCAAACAUAGUAACAACCAAAUCAACAUCCCUUAUUCAAAAUGAACACAAAAAAAUUCAUCAAUUCACAUUAUAAACAUCAACUCAACAAUUAUCAACAAUUAUCAUGAAUUUCACCAAUUUCACAUAAAACUCAAAAACCCUAAUUCACCAUAAUCAAACAUUGAUUUUAACACAACUGUUAGGUUUGUAGUCUUGACAUGUUGGUGCGACAUCAUAGCGUGCCUUGUUCCGAUUUCUUGGAGAUUGUAUUUAAAUGUGAAAUCGCAGAAGAAAACUAAACGCAUCACAACUAAGAAAAGGUAGAAUAAAACCUUUCUACAAACAAAGCGCACAUCACUUGAAAGCAAAAUAAAUACGCAACUAAAUUUCAAAAAAGAUAUGCAUAAAUUAUCAUAGAAUAAGGCACCAAGUAACACGUUCUUACGUCUCAGAUUACCAAAUGGCUCUCCGAAAAAUAACCAGAGUAUGAUAAAAUUACAGAUUUCCCAAAACAAAAGGAACAUAAACUAAAAUACAAAGCACGAAAACAAAGAAGACACAACAACAUAACUCUUCAUCCACUAACUUUCCAUCAACCAAAAUCUUGGAGGGGUCCAGCUCGCUCACAUUAUCAUCAGGGUUAAAAUGCAGAACUUGCGCCCUAGUAUGCUCAAAGCCAUUGUCAAAAUAUAAGGCAAGAUCCCCCUUGCCAUCCUCAACGACGAAUUGAGCUUUGGCGAGAUCCCCUUACAACUAGACGACCUUCUUCUUCCAUGAAUCUCUCUCCAGCUCAACAACUUCUUUUUCAUCCUUCAUAUCUUUGGUCGUCUUCUCUGCAGUCUUCUUAUCCUCCAAGGCUUCCUUCAACCUACUUUCAAGACCCGUUGCUUUAUGCUUCCACUUCUCCACAUCUUCAUGAGCGUCUUUAUACUUUGCCUCUAAAGCACCAUGUUUCUUCUCCAUCACUUUUCCUAAUAAAAGGACCCGGAGCACUAAUAUUCUUGUAUCCAUUACUAGCUCGCCAAAUUUGCUUUUAACGCCAGCAUCAACGUCAACCUUAGACAGUGGCACUUUAUCCUCCAUGUAGCUACGAUAAACGCAUGACUUAAAAGUUGAAAACCCACUAACAUUACUAGAAUUUAAGUAAAAUCUCAUCAUCAAAUUAAACUCUCAUACCUACGAAAGUCGAAAUCUUUAUGCCAAAAAGAGUCAGCCACCUGAACAUUCAGAGAAAUGGUUCCCGCCACCCCGCUAGCAUAAUCAUCAUCCUUCCGACUGGCAACAAAUGUCCGCUUCGAGUCGCCCUUCCCAGUCCUCAUCUUCUUGCGUCUGGGCGAGUCAGUUUGCUCAGCCAGUACCCCAUUGCCUGCCGUCUCCAUGUUAUCAAUGUCCAUAUCCGAAUGUAACAUCCUAAAAUUUUAAGUCUAUAUUCAAAUGUAGUUAAAAAUAUAAAACAUAAUAGUGUAAUUAUUUUAAAAUACGCGAAGAUAAAAAUAAAGACAAAUAAAUAUGAUAUAAUUUCUUAUUAAUAAUUAAAUUUUAUUGGAUAAAAAGAAAAGGAGAAAGAAAGAAAAACAAAAAUAAAGGGAGUGCAAAUAACAAUUAUUUUUAGAAAAGAAAAAAAAAGUUAUAUACUUUCUCGAAUUUUUUUUCUGCCCUUGUUUAUGCAAAAAAAUACAAAAAUGCCCCACUUUUUCGAAAAAUUGCGUAAAUGCCCUACUUUUUCAGAAGCCCCUGGUACUACUCCACUUGGAGUUGCGGGGUACCCUAAAAAGUCACAAUUUUUUUGUCCUUAUUGUACGCCGCUACUUGGACUUGCGGGGUACUUUCCUACUUUUUUUUUUCCACUUUUUUUACUACCCCGCGAGUCUUAGCUUUUGCUUUUUUUUUUAAAAUUUUUUUUUUUUAAAUACCCCUCUACUUGGAGUAGAGUGGUAUAAUGAAGACAAAAAAAAUUCAACGUGUAAUAAUUACUCUCAAAUAAUAAAAAACUAAUUAAAAUUAUAUAACCAAUAAAAUACCAUCUACAAUGAUUAUAAAUGCCCGGCUGUCCCACACCUUCGUCUUCGACGAUCUCUUCCGCGAUUUACUUGAGGGUUAUGUUGGUCUUCGUCAUUUUUAUUUGUAGUUGAUUGUAUCUGACUACCAUAACCCAGUGACAACGACACAUCGUGUUCUCUUGUUGGCCAUCCCAUAUCCAGAAAUUGUUCAUUGGAGUUCAACGAAGUCGGAGAGAAGUGAGAUAAUAGGUUUGUUGGUGUUGGUGGGUGGUUGUAGUUUUGGUUGGUGUACAUUGGGUAUUGUGGGUUGUUGUAGGGGGGUAAUUGGUGUUGGACGGUCCAGCUUGGUUUGGGUCAUUAUAGGAGAAGUAGUUGUUGUUGGAUGUGUUAGCUUGGUUUGGUUCAUUGUAACCAUAAUUUGUCAUUGAAUUUUGUUGGUAAGUUGACUGAUAUUGGGGCUCAUAUGCAUUUCUCGGGGAGGUAUAUGGUGGUGGUUGGAUGAUAUUUUGUUGGGGGGUGUCGAGAAAUUCAUACAUUACAGAACCAUGAAUGUUUUGUGUUGUAUGUGGUUGGGAUUGAUGAUCUUGUAGUUGAGAAAAAAUGUCUUGAUCCCAAAAAUCAUCAUGAAUUGGUGUUUGGUUGUUGUGAAUUUCAGGUUCAUGUUCCGGCUCCGGCUCUUCUUGUUCGUCUGGAUCUGAAUCUGAUGGUUUUGUCUCAACUGAAAUCCUUAGACGUGGGUUGCAUGUGGUUGUCAACCACUCAAUAUACGCAUGAGUUGGGGUGAGUGAUCUUGGCCGCAUGUGAGGUAAAAUAUAACUCCGUCGGUUGUCCCAAUGUAAGCUCUCUUGUGGAAAGUGAAAACCAUUUGAUUGGUACCACAUCUUGAACCGUUUGUCCACUAUAUGGAAUUGUCGCAUGUCUCGUGGGGCCCCUGGUAUUUCCUGUGGCAAACCAAAUUCUAGCUUGACCCUAUCAGUUGGAUGCCAUUCAACUCUGUCAAAACAUAUAAGGUGAGUUGUUGCAGUCCACUCCCAAUAGUCUUCAGGAAAAUUGUGUGGAACAUUCUUGUAUGGUCUCCAUUUAAACUGGCAGAAGAGAGAAGUUGUAGUGUAAGGUUAACAAUUUUGAUAUAUAUAUAUAUAUAUAUAUAUAUAUAUAUAUAUAGUUCGAUAGGUGAAAUAUAUAUUCAUUAUUAAUUAAAUAACUCCUAAUUAAAUACUUGUAAAAAAACUCAUGAUUAAAUAAAUAAUUAAUUUAUAAUCGCGACAUUUUUUUAGUCCUAUAUUAAUUGCAUGUCCUACUUUUUUUUUUCUUACAAAAGAAAGUUAACAUAUAGCUUUUUAUUUCUUUACGACCAUGAAAGUGUUAAUAUGUAGCUUAAAUAACAAAAUAUCUUAAUUAUAUUUAAUUAGACCAUGAAAGUUAGUUUACCCUUGAAAUUACAUAAAAAAAAAAUUACCGUUCAAUAUAUAUAUAUAUAUAUAUAUAUAUAUAUAUAUAUAUAUAAACUCAUACAUUCAAAAAUCAAUUAUAAUAUUACUUGAUGUUCCAGUAUGUCAUCAAACUUUUUUCUGUAAGAUAUAGUGUCAUGGCUUGGAUUCUCGUAGUAUCUUGAACCUGCACCUGUCCAUCUAACAAAUGAUAUAAACAAAUUAGUAGCUAAUUUAUCAAAUAAUAAUAUUAAUAAGAAGCGAGAAUAUGCGAGGAAAUUAACAAAAAAAAUAAAUAAAUUAAUUGACCACGAUUACUUUAAUCCUAGCGGCUACUGGAGUGGGUUAUCAUUUCUCGGAGCGAUAUAACUCAACCGACAAUAUCCCCAAACUUGUAACAGAAAAUGACAUCCAGAUAGUGCUUUUAUAUUUGGGUGUGAUGCCUCACACAAGCCACGAUAAAGGUAAGCCAAAACUGCCGAUCCCCAACUAUAAUUUCUUGUUUCAUUAAAAUCCAUUAACAAAUACAACCAAGAGUUGUGCACAAAUAAUCCAGUUGUAUUAGGAAACAAGAACCCUCCAAAGAGGUAUAGUAGGUACCUCCUGUGUGUUGUAUUUUUACCUCCGGAGGAGAUUGUUCACUGAAGUUAUUAUCGACCAGAUUAUCCUUUAAUCACGACAACGAGAGAGUAAAACCAUCAGUUUUGUGUGCUGGAGGAGUUAUUCCCAACAAUUGAGCACAAUUAUUCCACAGAAGAUUUGGAGGAGCCGUAACAAUUGGUCCUCCAAAAGGUAAGCCGAGUAAAAUAUAUACGUCUUCAAACGUGAUUGUACAUUCACCCGUUCGAAAAUGAAAAGUAUGUGUUUCGGACCGCUAUCUUUCUACAAGAGUGGUUACGAUGUGCCUAUCAAUUUUGUAACGCCCUAUUUGAGAAACCUCAAAAAAUCCAGCUUGACGUAGAUAAUCUUCAAUAUAAGGACUUGGUAUGAUGUUUUGCCGUGUACGAGUGGUUAGAGGUGCACCCUCUGCAUCCUAACAAAAAAUAAUAAAGGAAUAAAAUUAAAACAUAAUCAAAAUAUAAAUUUAAAAAAACGUGAACAUAUUUAAAUUAAUAUUAAAAAAUAAAAAUGACAUUAACAAAUUAAUAUCUAUAUAUACCCAUCUUCUUAUAUGUUCUUCCAUGGAUCUAUGAUCAUUUUCCAACCACAAGUAUGCCAUUGCUUUAUAGAAUUUGAUUGAAAUAAUCUCUUAUGUGAGUGAGUAAGGAAAGGAUUGAGAUAAGUAGAAUAUGUGUAAAGAGUAAAAAUAUAGUUGUGGUAUUUAUAAUGUAAAACUAUGUGUAAAUGGUAGAAGUAGUAGUGUGGUAUUUUAAUCAAUGAAGUGAAGAGUUCCUGUGUUACUACUGCAACGCAUGCAAGCCAACAGUGUUCAAAUAAACAUAGAAAUGACAAUUGCAUCAAUAGCAGAAGCAUGGUGUUCAACAAUAUUGAAUUAAUUCGUAAACUUUGCCUCAUGAGAUGACCAUUGCAUGUAAAAAAUACAUUAAUUUCUUGCAAGAAAUUUUUGACUGAAAUGACCAAUGCAUGUUUUGAUCACGUGAAGCAUGCUAGCAAACAAAUGGCCGACAAGCUGCCUCUGAAUAACCAAUAGGAACGGCGCGUGCAAAUACUACCCCGCCACUCUGGGUUGCGUGGUACCCCCAGCUGGCGCAUGCUUUACAUACCCCGCCACUCCAGCUUGCGUGGUACCCCCCAGCUGGCGCGUGCUUUACCUACCCCGCUACUCUAGCUUGCGUGGUACCCUCUAGCCCGCUAGUCCAAACUGCGUUGUACCUUUUUUAAUUUUCCCGCUCGAAGGGCAGAUUAAAUUACAUGUUAGUAUAAAUAAAAGUGGUCUGCAUGAUAUCAUUGUAUCAAACCAUUCUACUUCAUACUCUUACUCAUUUCUUAAGAUCAAACCAAUUCAAUGGCACCAAAUAUAAACGUUUUUGUGUACUAUAAUGGAGAAGUUAAACAAAAUGAAUCCGGUAUUUUUUUUCAAAGUCAGUAUACCAAAGGUUUUAAAGUCAGCAUGGCUAGUACUUACUUGCAUCUCAAAAGAAGAAUUGCGGAAAAAGUAUGUCUCGAAGAUAAUAUGGUUGUGUCUGAAAUUAUGUGUCGGAAUCCUAUGUUUGUUGGAACUACCACAAUUCAUUACCAGGCGUUAAGAAUAACUGAUAACGACGAUGUCGAGUUUAUGUUUAACGUACAUAAAAGUCACAGUUCUUUGUCCUAUAUAGAGCUUUAUGUUACGUUUGAGAUGAAGAAUCCAACAUCUAAUUUUGAGUUAAAUUACCCAUCGAGUUCUAGUCAACACCAAAGUCUACCACAACACUACAAUCCGUCAUCGUCGCAAGAACACUACAACCCAUCAUCGUCCCAACCGCACUAUAACCCGUCUCCCAUUUAUGAUGCAUCCUUAUCGCAACCUUUUCAGUCAAAGUGGUCACAAAAUGUGUACGAACCAUCACAAAUAAUAACUCAACCUCAUCCCUCUCAAACACCAUCUCGUUCAACACAACCCAAAACCUUAAACGAUGAAAUCAAUAUAUUCACCUCCCAAUUUCAAGACCAACCAAAUGAUGAAGUUCAAGAUGAUGAAGACGAUGAUGAUGAAGAACUCCUUGCCGCACAAAACGGUGACGAGAACGAAGAAGACGAAGACGACGAUCUGCCACUACUACCAAUUUUACCAAUCAGAGCUUCUUACAACCCACCAAGGUCCAUGCGCAACGUCAAUGAUGACCACUCAACUGAACUUUAUCAUUCAAUGGCUCUUCCGGUCGAUCAAGGUAUUGCCCUAGGGAUGCAAUUUCAUAACAAGAAUGAUUGCAUUCUCGCAAUUAAAUUUUAUCACAUGAAAAAAUCAACGGAUUAUAUUGUGAAAAAAUCAGAUCCUGAAAGGUAUGUCAUCAAAUGUAAAGAUACAAAAUGUGGUUUCAAAUUGCGGGCCUCGUGGAGGAAAAAAACUGAUAAAUGGGAGAUUGGGAAAAUGAAUGAUCAUACAUGUGUCUCAACAGAAAUGACGCAAGAUCAUCAUAAACUUAGUUACAAUGUGAUAUGUGAAAGUGUUAAAUCACUACUACAUAUGGAUACUUCAAUUACAGUGAAGGUUAUAAUUGCACACAUCCGAGAGAAGUUUAAUUACACAGUUUCAUACAGAAAGGCAUGGAGAGCACGGAAUAAGGCGAUUAAAUCAAUUUAUAGUAAUUGGGAGGAGUCUUAUGAAGAACUACCACAAUGGUUGAUGGUCAUGGAAAAAGAUUUGCCAGGAACAAUAAUUGAUUUUCAAACGGACCCAUCAACAGAAGUGGCAAAUGAGACCGUCUUCAAGCGUCUUUUUUGGGCCUUUCGUCCGUGCAUCUCAGGUUUCGAAUUCUGCAAACCAAUUGUCCAAAUUGACGCAACUUGGUUGUAUGGUAAAUACAAGGGAACAUUGUUGUUAGCUGUUGCGCAAGAUGGGAACAACAAGAUAUUUCCCAUAGCUUUUGCAAUCGUGGAAGGCGAGACCAAGGAGGCAUGGAGUUUCUUUUUGAAAAAUUUAAGGCAGCAUGUCACCCCACAAGAGAACAUAUGCCUCAUUUCUGAUAGACAUGUGUCGAUAAAGAGCGCGUAUGAUGAUCCACAGAAUGGAUGGCACGAUGCUCCGACAAGCCAUGUUUAUUGUGUCCGACACAUUGCACAAAACUUUAUGAGAUCAUUCAAGGAUGGAGAACUAAAGAAGAAAGUUGAAUGCAUGGGUAAAAAUCAUAUCUCUUUCCACGUAAAUUCGACAUUUUAUUUGUUUAAAAUGACACAUCUAACUUUUUUCAAAACAAUGCAGGUUACGCCAUGAACAUCCCUACAUUCGAAUACUACCGUUCUGAAAUUGCUGUUGCAGACCGAAAGGCUUUAGCAUGGGUCGACAAUAUUCCCAAACAAAAGUGGACUCAAUCACAUGAUGAUGGUCGACGAUGGGGCCAUAUGACAAGUAACUUGGUAGAGUCACAAAACAACGUGUAUAAGGGUAUUCGAGGACUUCCGAUCACAGCUAUCGUGAAAGCAUCAUAUUACAGGUUGGCGGCCUUGUUUGCUAAAAGAGGACAUGAGGCAGCGGCAAGGGUAAAUUCUGGUGAGCCAUUCUCAGAAAACAGCAUGAAAUAUCUCAGGAAUGAGGUGAUUAAAUCCAACAGUCAUCAUGUCACACAGUUUGACCGGGAUCGGUAUACCUUUUCCGUCCGUGAAACCAUCGACCAUAAAGAAGGAUUGCCAAAGGGAGAAUACAAGGUGGACCUGCAAAAUAAAUGGUGUGACUGUGGACGAUUCAGAGCGUUACACCUACCAUGCUCACAUGUCAUUGCCGCAUGUUCUAGCUUUUCUCACGACUACAAGACUUUUGUCGAUAACAAAUUCACGAAUGAGUGUGUAUACGCCGUAUACAACAUCCACUUCGACGUGGUUCACCACCAGACAUAUUGGCCUAAUUAUGAAGGACUGAAGGUGGUUCCCAACAAGUCCAUGUGUAGGGUAAAGAAAGGUCGUCCACCAAUUACUCGCAUUAGGACCGAGAUGGACGAUGUGGAAACUGAGAGAAGAUGCGGCGUUUGUAGGAUGCCUGGUCAUUCCCGCAAAGAUUGCAUUAAUAUUAGACACCAGUAAAAAUCUAGUCUUUAUUUCGUUUGUAGGAUGUAUGGUCAUUUCCACAAAUAAUUGUAGAUUUUAUGGUAUUUUAUUGGUUAUAUAAUUUUAAUUAGUUUUUUAUUAUUUGAGAGUAAUUAUUACACGUUGAAUUUUUAUUUUUUUUUGUCUUCAUUAUACCACUAUACUCCAAGUAUUUAAAUUUUUUUUUAAAAAAAGCAAAAGCUAAAACGCAAGUCCAACUUGCGGGGUAGUAAAAAAAGUGGAAAAAAAAAAGGAAAGUACCCCGCAAGUCCAAGUAACGGGGUACAAUAAGGACAAAAAAUUUGUGACUUUUUAGGGUACCCCACAACUCCAAGUGGAGUGGUACCAGGGGCUUAUGAAAAAGUAGGGCAUUUGCGCAAUUUUUCGAAAAAGUGGGGCAUUUUUUUAUUAUCUUUGCAUAAACAAAGGCAGAAAAAAAAAAUUCUACUUUCUCCCCACGUUUUCUCAAAAUUUGUUUCUAAAAUAAUAAUAAAAAAAGAAAUAGUUAUUUCAGAAAGAGAAACCGUGUGAUAUUUUUUAAUUAGUGUACACCUACACUUCUCAUGUGCCUAUAAAUAAGAUGCUUAGUUGAACAUAAACUCACACUACAAAACUCUCCUCUCUCUAAAAAAUCAGGUUAGUUCUCUCUCUCUCUCUCUCUCUCUCUCCUUUUCUGAACUUUCUCUAUUCAAUCUAUAGUCAUUCUUUAUUCUUUUGAAAGAGACAAGAUUUACUACUAAAAUAACCUCAGAUUUGGUCCCCACAACCCUUCUUUUGGGAAGAACAACAACAUAGUAUACCCUUCUUUUGGGAAGAACAACAACAUAGUAUUAGAAUGUUCUUUUAUCAGAUGAGAAAGUGACAGUAGUUUAGUUCUUUUCAACCUAAUCAAACCAUGAAAAUAGUUUAGCUCUUUUCAACCAUUCUUUUUCAACAGAAACAUCAUUCAAUAAAAUAAAAUAAAGAGAUCUCAGAUCUGUUUUAGACUUUUAGUAGAAAAAAUUACACGAUUUAAUUAUUGUAUUUUUUAUACUGAUACAAACUAUGAAGAUUGAAACAAAGUUCAUAAGAAAGUUGAGAUCUUGUUUAAUUCAUAUUUUUAGUUUAAAGAAAAAUAAAGAAAUGAACAUUGUUUUAAGAAUGACGUAAUGACUAUUAAAUGGCUUUUAAACAUUCUGACUAUAUAAAAAGGUAGUAACAUAAGUUUCAUUUGAAAUAAAAUAAAAUCAAGCUAUUAUUAAAAUAUAUCUAAUAUAAUCUGAAGAAAAAAAAAGGACGUGAUACAGAGAAACAAAGGAAUUAGAAAACUUUAACUCGUUAUCUCUAUUAUUAUGACCUUGAUAAUGACUAUAGUCUAAUAGAUAGUUUAUUUUGGGUGAGUAUUCUAGGUGAUAUUGGAGCUGCUUUCGACGGAAACAAUAUUGCAACCACUUGCGAAGAAUCCGAAGGUAAGGGGAAUUACUACUAAUAAAUUUUAAAGAUUUUGCAUAAGUUAUGUGCUUAAGUGAUUAUAUGUGAGUAAAUAACUCUACUUGUGAGAGUUAAUUUCUCGAUGAUGUGGUAAUUUCUAGCGAUCAAGUACAUGUCAAAGGACAUCGACUUAUAUGUGUUUUAGUUAAUAUAAUUAGGAGUUUUUGAAAAUAUAAUACAUAAGUAGAAGAAAAAGUUUUGUAAAUGAUGAAUUGAUUAGAUAGUUAUAUUAUGUUUAUUUGGUAUUACUCUUGUGUAAGUGAAUGAGCAUAUGAAUUUCAAUAAGUGUUAACUGAUUUCGAUGAGUGAAAUUAGUUGGAAAUAUAUGAUUUAAAGUGUCAAUUAUGAUUCGACGCGAUAAUUUAUAAUGUUAAUCAUGAUUAAAAACUUCUCUAUAAAAAGAAAUGAUCUAAGAGAGAUAGUUGUAUCCCACCUCAUUAAUUUUAUGGUAUCAACUCAUAGGUAUGUUGUAAAGGAAAGAAACUUAAGAAUGCCAAACUAUGAUCACUAACUUAGUACGUAGACAUAGUAUAUAUAGUUAUAUUGUACGUGUAGGAAAUUCUUUAAAACAAAUGUAUAUGUGCUUUUUAACUAGGCAACAUGAAUUAUUCUUUGUUAAAAUCUCAUGAAUAAAAAGAACAUGUACUAGUUUAAUUGAAUUACCUAAGUUCUUACUUACUGCUGAAAUUUCUAUGCUUAUAAAUAAAUGAAAAAGAACAUAUGCUGGUCAUUAAUUGUUCAGUUAUUAUGUACUGGCUUGAUUUACUUGCUGGAAUUUCUAUGCUUAUACAUAAAUGAAGAGGGACAUAUGCUGGUUAUUAUUUGUUGAGUUAUUAUAUACUGGUUUGAUUUACAUCACUGUACUAAUUGAAUAAAAUUCUGAUGUGGCUAAUCAAUUUUAUAAACAUAAAUGGUUAAUUGUUUGACAUUGUUGAGUUGAAUAUGAGUGUUUUGUCUUGUCUAGAAAGUAGGGACAAUUAAGGAGCUAUAACAGGUCCCUAUACACUCAGGUGUAGAUGAGAAUGAGGAUAGUUAUGGUUUGGUUACUUUGAGGAUCUAUCGAGGGCACUUGUGUUUCGAACGCCUAUCAAUAGUUGGGGAUUGCUUCCCGGCUGAAAGUACUCGUACUACCAGACACGGUGAGCCUGAAAAAACUAGACUAUCUAUGAUAAGGUAGUGCGAUCGGACUAGAAUGAUUAGAGUUUAAGCAUAUCUUGCUCAAAAUACUAAUAAUCAUGAUAUAGUUGCCGAAACGGCCUUAUGCUCAUUAGAGUGGAACCUCCAUGGAGUAGUGAAUUAUGAGAAGAAAAUAAACUAGAGUCAAGAAAAAAAAAGUCAAAAGAGUUCAUGCAUGUGUCAUGUUGAAUGUCAAACUAUUAAUUCAAAUUGGACCUCUUAAAAGAUAGUUUUUUUUUUUUUUUUUUUAUAAUAUGCUUUGUGAUUGUUGUUGGACAGUGAAUGAAAAGAAAAUAUUAUAUCUAUGUAAAUAUCAUUUUACCUUGCUGUAUAUAUAUUAUUUUCUUUUUCCUUAUGUAAUAAAUCACGUGGAAAACUUGUGUACGAGUAAUUCACCCUUCUUUGUUUGUUUUUGUAUCUUGUUGUUUUUUUUGGGUAUGUUCGGACGUUUUUAUAGAUGAUGCCAGAAAGACAUUUAGCUCACUCGGGAACCCGCAUGAUCGAGUUCCUUGAGGUAUUUUCUUUUGCAACACUUAUUAAAGAAGAAAGUAAUAAUAAAUCAAAACACUCACACAAAGACGCCUCAAGACUAUUGGAAUCACCCUAUCGUAUCAAAAGCUCAUGAAUAUCCAUAAGUAAAAACUUCUCCAAAAAGAACACCAUACCCUACUCAUAGGGUGCCAUCUUAUUAAAAUCAUACCCCAUCACUGCAAUCGGAGCAAUGAUCCAACAUAAAGGAAACUUUGGUUUUCCUUCCACCAUCACCAACGAAGUUGAGCCCUCAGGCUCUCCUUGCACCCUAACAAACGAAUCACACCAAUCCUUCUUAAAGUUAGAAGCAUAAGGAGGGAAAAGUUUUUUACUAGGAUAGGCACUAAUUGAAACCCACAUUCCCUUGUUUACAUCUUUCGUCCUAUAAAAAUGGAAGAAGACGCCAACAGAAGGCUCCAAACUCAUCCUUACAAAGUAGUUUGAAUCCACGAAUAAACGCCUAGCUAUUAGGACGUAUUUGCGAAGGCGCCACAUUCAGAAACUUUAGCACAUCCAUCUCAAAAUCCGUAAAGGGUCGUCACCCCAAACUCUUCCAACACCGUCAUAUACAUAAGAAAGGAAUCAUCCCUGACACCCUCCAAACGCUGAUCGCACACUCUCUCGCCUACAUCACAGGGCGACACUGUCACAUCUUUCUCGUUCUCAGUAGCAGAAGUAUCCAUCUUGUUUCAGAAUAAAUUGAUAUCCGAAGGCGACAUAUAUGAAAACACCGCUCGAAGAACUUCUUCAGCUAAAUGAUUCAUCUCCAACUCAUAAGAAUACGUCAAACACAUAAUCUCUUUUUGAGUAGACGGAAGAGGCAUAUAAUGACAAAUCUCUUGACAAGUUUUCCCCCUACGACAAAUCACUAUCACUACCAUUAGAGCUAUCGCUACUAGUGUUGCUAUCAUUGGACAAUUCCCCUAAAACCCUACGAUAAAAAAGCCCUAAUUCGUAAGCUUCCCAAUCAAUCAAGUCAUUAGGAUGUGUUGCAUGUCUUAAAGAAUCUCUCCUCAGUUGGUCUCUCUCAUCAAAAUUCGUAGGAGAGAAGGCGAAAAAUGAGAGAAGGAAAAUGGAAGAGUACUUGAGAAGAUUGAAAACGUGAGCUUAGAAAUCCAGACAAUCAGCUGGCAAGUGCGCGAAUACGGAGAACUAAAAGGCGAAAAAUGCGGAAGUGAAAUGAGGAAAGGAAGGAAAUGAAGGGUCAAAGAGUUUUAGAGGACAACAACAAUUAAAACCCCCUCAAAAAACACGCUCAUCCUUGGCACGAUUGGAGACACGUGUCAAGAUACACCCAGAUUCGAACACGUCACUAUCAUCGAAAGGUCACACAUUUUGGACCAUACAAUCAUGUUAAAAAUGAAAGAUCUCGUCGAUAUAGAAUUUCAAAAAACUCGUUGCCAACUCCUCAAACAGGAAACUUACUCGCCGUGCUGUUACAAAUCACUUCGCCUUGUCCCAAGACUCGUGGUUGGGGGCUGUGAACAAACAUCAGGCAUAAAACGCAUGACUCGACUAGCACACACCCUAGGGGGCUCUAGGAUAAAGCAUAAUCACCCAAGGGGGACUCUGUAAGCUCCAACAACAACAUCCAAAGACAUACACAAAAAAUACUGAUAAACGUAAAAUAAAUUCCAAAUGCUAAUUAAUCAUUUCGCCUUGUCCCAAGACUCGUGCUUAGGAGGCUUUGGACCGUCAAUAUCUUCUUAAGGACCUAGAAGUCCUCCCAAAGGGCAUUUAGACCCUCCUAGAUGCCUAACACCCUUCAAAAGGGCUCUAAGGCCCAACACGCGCCCUUCCUAGGGAGCCGCCUCUACCAGCUUCUAAAACCUCCAAAGCUCGGCCUAAAUACCUAAUACGAUUACAAACCCUAAUACCUCAUUACGUAUAGCUUAAGAACCAUAAAUCAGGCCAAUAGAGGGCUAUAAAUACAACCUUUGAGAGCCUUCUGAAGGCAUGACCAAUACAUUACAAACCCUAAUACGAUUAUUGUACUUUUGCAAGUACAAUGAGGAAGGCGAUAUUGACAGGGAAAGUUUCCACCUAAUUUGGGCUAAAAACAUGGACUUUUGGGGGUAAAAAAGUCACAAAAAGUGACUUUUUUCGCAAGGAGCAGGGCGCCUAGCGCAUAAUGGCAUGCACCUAGCUCAUGUUCCUGCUAGGCUGAGGCGCCUAGUGCCCCUUUCAUGCGCCAGACGCUUCAGUUGUUUAGCUUAGGGGCACCUAUUGUGCACCUGGGUGCAUAAGUGCCUUUUCAGUGCCUUUUCAGUGCUGUUUUUCUUGUUUUCUUUGCCUUUUGAGGUGUUUUCUUCAAUGUAAGAUGUCUUGGAACUUGAGAACAAAAUUCCUUCCUUUGUAAAGACUUCUGAGGCAUCUUGAAUCUUCAUUAUUCAUCUUCCCAAGGUCCACAUAAAUCUUCAAAUGUCUUGCAUUGUCUGAUUUGCUUGAUUUCUUCGUGAAUUACUUCAACAACACCCUAAAAUUGCUAUUUUUCAGGAAGAAUAGAAUUACAAACUCAAUAUAAAAUACAUUACAAAUGUACCGAAAUCAUAGGCAAUUGAUCAAAUACUCUUCUUCUUUGCUGGUAAAACCUACUGAAAUUGACUGAAAAAUGUAACAGCCCUAUUUUCGUUAGAUUUAUUUUAAUUGUUUUAAUAUGUGUUUAUUUAUGCUUAUGUGUGAUUAUUAUCAUUGGGUGCAUUUUUAUGGGUUUUCGUGUUGGAAGGAUAAUUUAGUAAUUUCAUGUAAGGAUUAUUUUUAGUGUUUCAAGUGAGAACCAUUAUUUACUAAGUUACUAGUGUGGUAAUUAGUUGUGAGCCGGUAAGUGAUCGUUGUUAUUAUUUUACCGUUAAGGGAGUAGAAACAUUUUAGAAUUAGUGAAUUAGUGGGUUAAGCCCACUAAGGCAUUAGGGUUAAACCCAAUUGAGAAGAGCCUAUAUAAGUUCUAGAUUUUAGAGAAAAAUAGGUUUCCACUUCAUUUCAUAAGAAUUUUGAGAGAGGUAGAGAUAGAAAGUUCAAGAGAAGAGGAAAAUGGUUAGAAGGGAGAAAAGCUUGAAGACUCAAGAGGUGAUAGAGAUUCUAGGACCUAAAUUGAAGCUUUUGCUAGGAUUUUUGCUAAUUGAGGUAAGGGGGUUAGAUUUCAAUCAUAAUAACUUAGUUGUAGCUUUUACCCUAAUUUCAUGUAUAAAUGCUUAUUUGUAUAAAGUGAUUAUUAUGAAAUUAAUUGAUGAAAUUCGUGGUUAUGCUUUGAUGUGAUGUUUGGGUAUGUGAAAUUGAUGUUAAUUAAGUUGUUGAUGAAGAAUUUACAUGCUCAAGUUAUGUAUAUAUGUAUACUUGUGUUUUUGCUCAAAAUUGAUGAAGUAUAAUGUUAUUGUUGGUGAAUUGUUGAUGAAUUCACUUCUGAUUGUUGUUGUUGUGAUUGUGAGUAGUUGUUGUUGAUGAUUGAAACCUUGGGUAAUCUUAACCAUAGAGCUUGAAGUGAGUUUCUAUUGUUCUUGAAGUUUUCAUGAAAAAUAGGUCAAAUGGUAAUUUUGUUGAAAUUAUGUUGGAUUCAAGUUUUUAUAUGGAUUUGAGUGUCUUUUCAUGUUUAGACAAACUUUGGGAUCAAAUUUGGGUAUUGGGUCAAAAUUGGGAUUUUGGGGUGAAAAAUGAGUUUUUUUUUGUAGUAGAACUCCAGAAGCCUGUCACAACUCGCCAUGGCGAGCGGGAGGCGAGCAGGAGGUGCUUCCUGUGUGUUAACUCCCCAUGGCGAGUGAUUCACUCACAGGGCGAGCUGCACAGUGACAUCAUUCCCUGUUUCGCAAUCUUGCGUCUUUUUCACAUAUUUUUGUUUUGAAUUGGUCUUUGGUAUAAAUAUGAAAGUUUUAGAUAAUUGUGUUAGCUUUCCAGUGGCGUUGGUUUGACUUGAAAAUGAUUUUUGGUUUUUGAGUUAUGAUGAAAAUACUCCAAGGAGGUCUUAGUGAAAUUUUAUGAAAAUUCCGCAUAACUAUUUCUAAGUCAACCCAAAACUUAUGGAUUGUUUCCAAACUUCAAAACUUGUGUACUAUGAGUUAAAUUAAUGUGUUUAAGAGUAUUUAAGCUACGUUGUGGUGAAUUUAACUUGGUUUUGUUUUGAAAGUGAAUUGGUUUUACAUUAUGAGUAAAGCGAUACGAACUUUGCAAAACUUUGAAUUUAAGUGAGUUGGCCUAUGGGACCUUGAUGUAUACACUAUUGCACUCAUAUGUGAUUGGUGUAUAUACUUAGUUGAGGUUUCCAAAUGUGUUUACCUUGUUUUGUCGGAUAACUUGAAAAUUGGUAAAAUGAUACGAACUUGUCGUAACCUGUGAUUUUGAUGAUUUUGUCGUAGUAGGCCGGUGAAACGCACAUGUAUAUUCAACUACACUCAUAUGUGAUCUAAGUGUAUACAUAGUCGAGGCCCUAGAGUUUAUUUACUUGGUGUUAGUUCAUUUGUCUCAAUUAUUUUAAAGUUGUAAAAUGAGAGUUGAACUUUGUCAAAAAUGGUUCUUUAAAGCCAAUUACCUUAUAAAUCUUUUGUAGAUAACUUUAUAUGACUAAAUGAAGAUAUGUGAAUGAAUUUUUAAUUGUUGAAUAUGAUAUUAUCAUAAGGUGUUGCAUUUUCUCUUUACUUGGAAUAUGAUAAGUAUUUGGAAUGGUGGAACUAUACUAUAUGGUUGAUGUUGAUUAAUAUUUAUAUAUCAAUUGAUGUUGAUGAUUACUGAUAAUUAUGAUGAAAAUGUGAUGAUGACUCUUAAUUGGAUUAUGACUUUAUUGUUGUGUGGACGUAAAUAUUUGAUAAUGCAAUUGUUGUUGAUGUUAUCCUUUAUAUUGUUGUUGAAUAUUUAUGAGGUGAUUUUGCAUUGUCAAGUCUUUCCUUGUAUGUCCAUGCAUCAUAGUCAUGUUGAGUCUUGAUGUUGUAAAGGAGGGUUACUCUUUUACUUUGGUGAUAAUGUAAGACGGGUGUGAAAUUUUACAUAUGAUGUUUUUGUUGCAUCAUGUGUGACGACCUUGAGGUGAUUUGGUACCACAUGCAUAUAUGUGUCGGGAUUAGGCACAUAUCAUAUUGGCGUGAGUCUUAAUUGAUGUAUUUGAAUGAUGAUUGAUGAUGAUAAGUGUGUUUGAUGAAUACAUACUUGUGAUAUUUAGAAUUGUUGCAUGAAUGUGUAUAUGGAAGUUAAUUGCUCAUGAUUAAUUAAUUGAUACUUGAUUUGAUUCAUUUAUGUCUAACUAUUUAUGUGGAUUAUGAUUGUUGUAAAGCUUACCCCUAGUGGUUUUGACCACCUACCUGUCUAUAUGGAUGGGUAGACGAAGUGCAAGAUUAGUCGCUUUGGUGAGUUGCUUGGUGAUUGCUUAGAUAGAGGGAGUUAUCUCCGUUAUCGUUUCCUUAGAGUCUUAGGAUAGGCUCUGAUCUAGGAUGUAUGUCUUAUGAUUAUUCUAGAUUGUUUAUUUUGGAUUUAUUUGUGUUGUGGAGAUUUACCCAAUUGUCGGAAUUUGAAGAAUUUUUAUGUUGAUGUAUUUUGACCUCAUGGCAUGUAUACUUUUGAAGUGUAUGGUUUAUAUCCGCUGCAACGGUAUAGAAUUUUUAUAUAUGCUUGUUAUUUGAACAUUGUUGAUGAUGUGGCGUCUAUUUCUUGGAUAUUUAUAUUAUUCGCGUGUUUUAUUGCUUUAAUAGAAAUAGGGCGCUACAAAAAACAUGCUAAAAAUAACGUAAGAUGUCCUGUCAUCAUACAACGAUUGAGAAAAAGAUAAAGAUUGUCUAAUACCCAAGACUUCUUACAUAACUAUUUCAUCAAAGCAGAAUAGUUCAAAAACUGGAAGGUGUGGGUUUUCAUGACCUAGGAAUACAGGUAGCUCAAGUGAUGACAACAUAAUUUAUGGGAAAUAUGAGAAUCAUCAAGUCUGUGGUAAUGUCAAAUGGAUUCUCAAUCAGAAAAGAAUGCAGAACCUUUAUCCCAGACUUUCCCUCGAUCAUCCAAGAACCAAAUACCAAAGAUCUAGCAGACCUAGUGUCACAAGCUUCUGAAGAUCUAAUCUGACAUGGACCAUGCUCCUAGGGCAUGGACCAUGCACCUAGGGUAGGGUGCGUUUCACAGUCACAUGCGCCUAGGGCAUGGAGUGUGCUCCCUGAGAACUAAAAAAGUGUGGGGCAAAAUUGAUUUUUUUUCGACUUUUGUGUUGUUAUUUUAUGUUGUGAUUUUCUCAGAUUGGAGUGGAGGUAGGAUGUGAGAGUUCAACAGAUCACCAUUUGUAUGACUGAACAGACUAUUCAGAAAAUCUGAAUCAGUGUUUUGAUAAAUGGUUUAGCUAGAGGGUAAUGAUAUAGGUGGCGAAGGAAUAAUGAUGGAUGGUACUGAAGAAAUGUUAACAUAUUAUGUAAGCUCAAGAUCAAUACCUUUUGUAUUAUGAGAUUCUUCUGCUUUGCCUGGUGAGGUUGGCUCAACGGUAGCUGUUGUGAGGUUGGCUCAACGGUAGCUGCUUCUGUGACUAGCAUGCUGACUUCUUCUGCUUGCUUCUGUUGCUUCUCUUGGUUCUCACACUCAUCUACAUCGAUGAAUAUUAGAUGACACAAAUCUUCCUUAGCAUGUACAUUCUUCUUCCUUUCUGGUGAGGGAAUGAGUGAGUGAAUAGUACCAGAGUUCCUUGUGAGCUUGGAAAAAUCCGUUUUGUAGACAGAUCACAAAGUCACAUACUCUUAAUUUGUCUCUGAGUCGGUUUUGGAUUGCCUCGUCUUUUUGGGUGCUUGAGAAACUUUCUCAUCACCUUUCCUCUUAACCUCGACUUUCUUUAACUUCUUUGUUGGAGGAGAUGUUGUGACUUUGGAUGAUUUCCUCUUAUUCUUCUUGUUGUCUGCAGUUUCUGAGUCACCAGGAGUUUAAUCCGGAAAGAACUAAUCCGCAACUAAUUACUAAUAUUUUUCAUUGAAAAAAAAUAAUUUUAAAUAAGACUGGUACCUUGGUCUGUUGUAAAUUUGUAAGAACUAAUUUGACAGACAAUGAUAUAACUCAAAGACUAAUUUAUUUGUAAGUGCAAUAAUUUUGUUACUAAUUUUUGACCGUAAAUAACACACAAGUUAGCAGAAGGACCAAGUUGUUCAAUAUAAUUCAAAAUGUGAUUGUUUUUGCCAUGGCAUCCCCCAGUUUUUCUAUAAUUACACAAGAUUCCCUUUGUCUCGAUGGUUAGGAAGUACAAUUUUCUUUUGGAUGUCUCGUGUCUGAGUCCUAAUUCCCCUCAUUUUUAUAUUUCUAUUAUAUUAUAUUUUAAAUUUUAUUAAAAAAAUGUUCUUGAGGGGGAAUCGAACACGCACCACUACACUGAAUUCUAGCAAAAAACUGACCCCUAGACCGGUUACUGAUCUGAAGAAUAUUAUGAAACAACUAAACAUAUAUUCCAUAAAUUUUGGCACCCCCAAGAUAAAAACUCAAGAUCCGCCAUUGCCUAACUCAAGGUCCUAAAUACGCCACUACCAUUAACUAUAAUUAAUAAGAGUGUUUUAGAAAAUGAAACAUAUUUUGAACAUAUUUCUUAUCAUUUCUUUAACAAUUAUGUAAAACUCAAAAGGAACCCUUAAUUUGAGACAGAGGAUAUAUAAUAAUCGAUGAAGUUUAAUAUCUGCAAAAAAGUGUUAUUAAGUGAAGUAAACUUAACAAGGGUGACACUUGUUUUCUUUUGGUAAGGUGUGGGAGCACUCUUGACUGAGUUUCUAUUUUUUUUUUUUAUAUUCUUUUGAAAGUUGUAGUGGUGUAAUUGGGUGGUUAGUUGAAGUAAUUUUCGUUUUGGUUCUUGCUUGAUCUAUUUUGCAUUGUGAAAUUUCAAUUCUUAGUUUGCUUUCUACAUUGACGGAGUUGCUAAGUUGCAAUCAAACUUUUGAGUGUGUAUUAAUUAUAACAGUAAGAGUGUUGCUAGCACUACUCUUAUAUAAAAUCAGAUGUAUUUUUAAAUUUAUUUAUUUAUUUUUUUUUUUUUAAUUUCUACGAAAGUGGUGCACUUUUCCAUGAAUAUGCUUUUAGUGCAACUCCUUACCAAUGUAGUCAAACAAUUUCUUAAAACUCAUUGUUAUUAGUCAUUUCGAAACAAUGUAUUCACCAAGACAAAGGAGUGGGUGGAAGGAUAAUGGGUGCAUGCACAAUCAAGAAAAAGUUAGGUGAACAUUACAAUCAAAAUAUAUAGCAUAGAGCAUCAAAAUUUAUCGUAUGAAACAAUGUUUUUCUAAAAUAUGAAUGUGAACAAAUAACCCUUCAACUCAUAAGAUGAUCUUUAAUAUAUAGAAUUAGAAAGUUAGAGUAUCAGUACACCGAAAUUUAUAUAUUCAAAAGUGAGGCGUAGUUGGUUUUCCUCUUUAUGUAGUAUAGUUCGGUUUUUCCAUUUUAUUAUGGUACUUAUUCCUAUCAAAUUGAUAAAUCAGCUUUAUCUUAUAAUUGAUUUAACUAAUGAUGACUUGAACAUCAAUAUUAUAUAUUCGGAUAUACGAGUACUUCAUCGUGCUCUUAAUUUAGAGAUGUUUUGAGUUUGUUUACAAAUUGAAUCUUUGAAUUUUAGACAUAGAACUUGUACUCUUUUAGAUAUAAUAUACCGAUUUGAAUGGAUAAAUACCGUAAUUCCAAACAUAUAUUUUUUUUUCACACACAUACCUCAUCCAUUACGAAACGCAGGAACUAAAGCUAUAUAAUAUAGUGAAGCUAAUUUAAUAAAAAAUAUAUAUAUUUGGUGAUGCUAAACUCAGUCUAACUUAAUGCCAGUUCAAAAGGAACACUGUGGUAUGGAGGAAUUCUUUGUUUUGCAUUUAUAAAUGGCAACUAUACCCUAUUAAUCAUCAUCAUAAAAAUAAUUUUUAUAAUGUAUGAGACCAAGUUUCACGUCUCUAUUAUUUUUCAUCAUUUUUUAGAAUUGUACGAUCUUGUACCAGAUCUUCGUUUAGUUAUGAUGAUAGCAACCACUCUCACUGAAAAAUUAUAUAAUAACAUUUUUUUGGCAUAUUUAAUUACUGAUCCUGUCGGUGUAUUAUUGUAAAAUUAGGCAAUUUGUCCAAUCAAUUCACACAUAAUUUCAAACCUGGCAACUAUAUAAAAACAAAAUCAUAGGUAAAUAAUGUAGAAAAUCACCAACAACCCUUGAAUUUUGUUACAAGAAAGGGCCAAGUCAUCACCUUAUCAAGAUUGUGAGUGGAUUCACAAAGAUCACGACUAGUAUAAAAGGAGGAAGUCACUCUUGUGUUUUCUGCACCAAACUCAUAAGUCACUAACAUGGCUUCCUCAAACUUCCUAGUGCUGCUUCUUUUUGCUCUAUUUGCCAUUCCUCAGGGUCUUGCCAAUUAUGAGAAGCCUCCGGUUUACCAACCACCGGUGUAUAAGCCACCAGUUGAGAAACCCCCGGUCUACAAACCCCCUGUAGAAAAGCCACCAGUAUAUAAGCCACCAGUAGAGAAGCCUCCAGUUUACAAACCACCGGUGUACAAGCCACCUGUGUACAAACCCCCAGUAGUGAAACCCCCAGUCUACAAACCUCCUGUUUACAAGCCACCGGUGUACAAGCCACCAGUUUACAAACCACCAGUAGAGAAGCCCCCAGUUUACAAGCCACCUGUAUACAAACCCCCAGUAGUGAAACCCCCAGUCUACAAACCUCCUGUUUACAAGCCACCAGUUGAGAAGCCUCCAGUUUACAAGCCACCAGUAGUGAAGCCACCUGUUUACAAGCCCCCAGUCUACAAGCCACCAGUAGUGAAGCCACCUGUAUACAAGCCUCCAGUCUACAAGCCACCCGUUUACAAGCCUCCAGUUGAGAAGCCUCCGGUCUACAAGCCACCUGUUUACAAGCCCCCAGUUGAGAAACCUCCAGUCUACAAGCCACCGGUUUACAAGCCUCCAGUCGAGAAGCCACCAGUUUACGGACCUCCUCACCACCCAUAGGACUCUCGGAUGCUUUUAAGUAAAUAAGUUAAAUAAGAGAUAUAUAAUGUUUCCAAAGCAAGGAUUAUAUAUUCUUGGAAU